CCAGCACUGACAAUCGUGAAUCAGAGCAGACACCAUCAUAGCCUACCCACAAUGCCCCUUUCCCCAUUCUGUUCCUCCUCCUUUUCCCACAGGUCUUGUGCUAGGUUGCCCAGGCUAGCCUCUGACUUCAGCUUCCUAAGUGCUGGGAUGUCAGGACUGCCUAACUGUACAGACACCACAACCCCUUCUGAGCUGACCUGAAGGAGAUCAGUACCUCUUAAAUUGCAGGAUCCCUAGAUUAAAACUUUAAAUAAAACCUUUUGGGGUUUUUUGUACAUUAGUAUGCACCCAUUUUGUGUGUGUGUGUGUGUGUGUGUGUUGACAGUGUGGAGACCAAAGGUCAAUAUUAAAUUUAAGAAAGGAUCUCUUACUAAACAGGCUGCUCACAGAUUUGCUUGCCUGACUGACUGGCAACCCCUCAAUGGGUUCACUUGUCUCUACCCAGCACCCAGCACUGGGGUUACAGGGGGCAAGCCACCUGCCCUGGGUUUGACUGGGUAAUGAAGAGCUGAACUCAAGAAUGUGUACAACAAGGACUUUGCCCACUGAGGCACUUCUUCGGCACAGGAAAACCUUUUUUAUUCACUUAGACUUGUGAACAAUCAGUUCUAUGCUUACUCUCCAGCAGGCAGUCUAUUCCAGCUAGCAAUUCCAGCUCAUUGUAUCAUGAACAUGUGGCCAGAGGCUUCUCAAGAAAUACCACUGGAAAAGGAAGGCUGGGGCUGGCGAGAUGGCUCAGCGGUUAACUGACUGCUCUUCCGAAGGUCAUGAGUUCAAAUCCCACAACCACAUGGUGGCUCGCAACCAUCCAUAAUGAGAUCUGAUGCCCUCUUCUGGGAUAUCCGAAGACAGCUACAGUAUCCUCAUAAAACAAAUUUCCUAAACCUGCAGUGGACACAGAGGGGUCCAGGUCCAAGCCCUUGGAGGCAGCGGGCCUCCUCCACCAUGGUGAGAAUGUGAUCAGAACUGCUGGGAACCCCGUGGUCUGGCCAGGACAUAUACUGUAGCUGGUGCACAGAGCGGAAUUCCUGAGACGGGAACAGAGAGUGGAAAAAAGAAAAAAAGAAAAAAAACAUGUUUAUUGAUCACCUACUAUAGUUCUAAGCUUAUUCCAUUUAAAUCCACCAGAUAAGGAAGGAGACUAAGAGGAUUUGCAUAGCAUGCACAAGGCUGUGGGCUCCACCCUCAGCACCAUAGAGACAAGCAAGUCCAUUGUGUGCUAACUGAGGGUGACAGGAACGGACUGGAAUCAUGAGUUUCCAUUUACAGGAGAAGAGACAGCUCGUCCCAUGCAAGAGUCCCUUCACCUUUUAACGUUUUGGUACCUUCUGGAAUGUAACCUGGAGGGUCCUGAGAGUGAUGUCUGCA